UACCUUUGCGGCCGAAAAAAUUUGUACAUAAUAAUCAUUAAAUUAAUAUUGGAAUG
ncrna:unclassified sequences S15-Flavobacteria ribosomal protein leader